rnacentral:rRNA from 1 species
UAGGGAAUCUUCCGCAAUGGACGCAAGUCUGACGGAGCAACGCCGCGUGAGUGAAGAAGGAUUUCGGUUCGUAAAACUCUGUUGUUAGAGAAGAACAGCGCAUAGAGUAACUGUUAUGCGUGUGACGGUAUCUAACCAGAAAGCCACGGCUAACUACGUUCCAGCAGCCGCGGUAAUACGUAGGUGGCAAGCGUUGUCCGGAUUUAUUGGGCGUAAAGCGAGGGCAGGCGGUCAAUUAAGUCUGAUGUGAAAGCCCCGGGCUCAACCGGGGAGGGUCUUUGGAAACUGGUUGGCUUGAGUGCAGAAGGGGAGAGUGGAAUUCCAUGUGUAGCGGUGAAAUGCGUAGAUAUAUGGAGGAACACCAGUGGCGAAGGCGACUCUCUGGUCUGUAACUGACGCAGAGGCUCGAAAGCGUGGGUAGCAAACAGG